GAAUUCCUGUAGUUGAAGAGUAAGAUUUUGUACGGUACAUUUUUAAUGACAGCUUGGAUAUUGGAAUACUCAACUUUUGUUGUAGCCAAUGAGAGGGAUAUGCCACUAAUGGUAUCUAAAUCAUACAGUACAUACUUUAGGAUGGGGACAAAAUCACAACGAUUUAUUUAUUUAUUUACUUAGUGUAUGUGAGUGCACUGUUGGUGUCUUCAGACACACCAGAAGAUGACUUCAGAUCCCAUUACAUAUGGGUUGUGAGCCACCAUGUGGUUGCUGGGAUUUGAACUCUGGACCUCUGGAAGAGCAGUCAGUGCUUGUAACUCUGAGCCAUCUUUCUAGCGCCCCCCCCCCCCACUAUCUUUUAGAAAUGUAAUUUGCCAUACUUUGAGCAAUGUUCUUGAUGUCAUUAGGAUAUUUCACAGAUAACUUCACUUAAGAUAAUUAGAGCAAA
rnacentral:lncRNA from 1 species